rnacentral:misc_RNA from 1 species
GAUGAAGACGCAGCGAAAUGCGAUACUUGGUGUGAAUUGCAGAAUCCCGUGAACCAUCGAGUCUUUGAACGCAAGUUGCGCCCGAAGCCACUAGGCCGAGGGCACGCCUGCCUGGGCGUCACACGCCGUUGCCCCCCCAUCUACUCCUUCGGGAUUGCGGGGGGGCGGAUGAUGGCCUCCCGUGCGCCUAGCCGCGCGGUUGGCAUAAAUACCAAGUCCUCGGCGACGCACGCCACGACAAUCGGUGGUUGCGAAACCUCGGUUGCCCGUCGUGUGCGGUCGUCGCGCAUCGAGGGCUCGAAAAAAUGCUCGGCUCCGGCUGGGCUUUCAACGCGACCCCAGGUCAGGCGGGGUUACCCGCUGAAUUUAAGCAUAUCAAUAAGCGGAGGA